rnacentral:SRP_RNA from 1 species
GCCGGGCAUGGUGACUCAUGCCUGUAAUCUCAGCACCUUGCGAGGCCAAGGUAGGAGGAUCACUUGAGCCCAGGAGUUCAGGGCUGCAGUGAGCUAUGAUCAGGCCACUGCAUGCCAGCCAGGGCAACAGAGCGAGACCCUAUCUCUA